rnacentral:rRNA from 1 species
CCUACGGGUGGCAGCAGUGGGGAAUAUUGGACAAUGGGGGGAACCCUGAUCCAGCCAUGCCGCGUGUGUGAAGAAGGCCCUCGGGUUGUAAAGCACUUUCAGUGAGGAAGAACGCCUGGUGGUUAAUACCCAUCAGGAAAGACAUCACUCACAGAAGAAGCACCGGCCAACUCCGUGCCAGCAGCCGCGGUAAUACGGAGGGUGCGAGCGUUAAUCGGAAUUACUGGGCGUAAAGCGCGCGUAGGUGGCUUGAUAAGCCGGUUGUGAAAGCCCCGGGCUCAACCUGGGAACGGCAUCCGGAACUGUCAAGCUAGAGUGCAGGAGAGGAAGGUAGAAUUCCCGGUGUAGCGGUGAAAUGCGUAGAGAUCGGGAGGAAUACCAGUGGCGAAGGCGGCCUUCUGGACUGACACUGACACUGAGGUGCGAAAGCGUGGGUAGCAAACAGGAUUAGAUACCCGGGUAGUC